GUUUUCUUUCUGAAAGCUAUCUAGAAACAGGUUUUUGUUUUCUUUCUGAAAGCUAUCUAGAAACAGGUUUUUGUUUUCUUUCUGAAAGCUAUCUAGAAACAGGCUUUUGUUUUCUUUCUGAAAGCUAUCUAGAAACAGGCUUUUGUUUUCUUUCUGAAAGCUAUCUAGAAACAGUUGUUUUUUUUGGAAAGUCUAUGUUCUAAAAAAACAAAACAAGUAUUAUCAGUAUUUGCAGAUACGGAAGACUGGGGGUUCAGGGGGGAUUGUGUUUUGGUUAAAUCAAUACAUUUGGAUGCACUUCAGACACAACAGAUUGAGCGUAAACAACUUUGCUCAGAUAACAAGGAUUUGCCCAGUGAUGUAUAUUCACAGGUGGAUAUUUUAACGAUGUUCCAUAAAAUGUUUCAUGUUGGAUUAUAAUUAUAAUUCCUUAUUUUCCUGAGACUGAAAGUAGAUCCUUGUUUGACUAUAGUAGAUUGCCAUGAUAAGAUCCCUAUAUAGGAUCAGCCUUAUAGGAUCUUACACCACAGCUCUUUGGGACACGGGAAUGGGCAUUCCAUUGUACUGGUACAGUAGUAUUCCGAUCUGCAUGUCCCUAUGUGUUCAAACCAAACACCUUCCAGAAGAUUCAACUAUGCAUUGAAUUAGUGUCGCAACGAGGAUGACCACCUUAAAAAAAAUACAGGUCGACAAAUGCCCUCGUAGCGUUUACCUGAUGUGGUAUCUAAAAACUAGAAAUAUUAUUUUGUAAGCGUAGUUAAAUGGUAAGAUUUGAAUCUUUCACUGUUUCUAUGACAUGAGCAUGAACUCUAUUUGCAAAGUAGCACCGAGGAUGAGGGGCAUGUUAUAGUACUAUCAGCCCUAUUUUUCUGGCUUCUUGGCAUAGUAGGCGCUGCCCCCCUUUUAAAACUACCCAGAUGGGUAUAGAGACCCUCCUGCUGCCCACCCAUGCACCUCUAUCCCCUCCUCAACCAGAUGAUGUGCCCUCCCCUCACUGGUUAUCCCACUUUGAGAGCCAGACCAUAGAGAUGCACUGUUCUUACUAUAAAGAUGAGACGUAGGGUCAAAAUAACUUCAAAGUCGAGAUCUUUCACGGCGUGCUUAGGAGUUAGACACUUCUUAGGCCGCUAGAGUCUAGAUUGAGUGUUCAUCCCUUGCUACCUACCCUGAAGUGCUGAUGACUAUAUUUCUUGACGUGGGAAGUGUUUUUUGAUGACUCAGCAGUAUAAGAUAAGUAUGAAGUCUUUUCUUUGCCGCCAGUCCAUCCAUCUGUCCGGCAACUAGCUGGACACCACUGCAUGAAGAGGCAGCUUGCAGGCUGGGUUCAAGGGGGAGUGGAGAGCGGUGGGCUGAGUGGUACGACGUCUGGGUUUGUACAAUUAGAUUGACGGGGAGAGGGGGCAAUGACCUUGGCUCUACUCACUGAAUGUACACAGGCCCUACUGUUGACCCUCCCUCCUAGUCCACCCCGAAACGUCCUCGAAUGCACUGACCCAGGUUAGUGGUCAACAGAGCCAAGCACAUCCCUCCAUGUCACAGAGGAGAUACCACUUCAGAAGCAGGGAGGAGGGACAGAGUUAGCUCUUCGCUGUAUCUAUCCCCUCAGUGUAAAUGCAUUCUGGCAACGCUAACCUCAGACUCUCCCCUUGCUUCCAUCCCUCCAUCCCCUGGUCCUGUGAAGGCUCUCCCCUUGCUCCCAUCCCUCCACCCCCUGGUCCUGUGAAGGCUCUCCCCUUGCUCCCAUCCCUCCACCCCCUGGUCCUGUGAGGGCUCUUCCCCUCUGUAAAUAAACACUAGUCCUGUCGAUGAUAUGAGCCAAUUGUUUGUAUAGUACGGACCACAUCCAGAAUUUUCAAACUAAAAGUCCUCUCUCCUCAAGGCGUGGCUUACUGGAAUGUGUUGUAUUUGUUUUUCAAGAAAAAUAAGAAAACCACAAUGGGGGAAAAAAAAAUGUUCUUCAACCGUUUGUGUUGCAAUGUAGUAACUAAGCACCAUGAAGGCCAACUAACUAACUCUUCAGUGUAAAUAUAAAGAAAGUUGCUAAUAACUUUAGACGAUAAGUAAACAGAGUGACACACACGUAGACUAGUUAACUUGUGAUAUGUGUUGCGCAUAUUAGUGUUCAUUUUCUCUCUCUCUAUUUUACUACCCUGUAAAAGAAACGAAACAAAAAAAAUAUAUAUUGAAAAAAAUGUUUCUAUCCUUCUGUACCUUUUUUUUCUGUGCUUUAUCUUGUGCAUUUGCGCAAGAAUGCCUCUCUGUCCAUAUGAGCAAAUUAUUAUAAAUAUUAUGUGUGUGUGUGUACGUCCGUCCGCUGCUGAAUUAAUCCUCUCUCGUGCUGUAAUAUCUUUCUUAUGAAAUGCUUAGACCUCCUACGCUCCUCCCGGUGUUUAGUCUCUUCAUUUUUAUGCUAAUAUUUAUAUUGCUGUUUUAUUUUCUCUUGAACACUGACAUUUCAAAUAAAAGGCUCUGAAAUCA